GACCCCUUAGCUCAGUGGUAGAGCGUCGCAUUCCAGUGGGCAAACAGCGUCGCGAAGGCCGUCCGUUCAAUCCGGGCAGGGGUCA